rnacentral:tRNA from 1 species
CAGGGAGACAACAAAAUGUUUAAUAUUAUUAUUUUGUCACCUUAGGUCGAUCGGUAUCUCACGUUCUUAAUUUAUUAAGAAUUUCAUUUCCUAAGUUUUUCUAGGUCACACCCAUUUUUUUUCCUGGGCCAUUAGCUCAGGUGGUUAGAGCGCACCCCUGAUAAGGGUGAGGUCCCUGGUUCAAGUCCAGGAUGGCCCAUAUCUCUAUGUUGGGGGUAUAGCUCAGUUGGUAGAGCGCCUGCUUUGCAAGCAGGAUGUCAGCGGUUCGAGUCCGCUUACCUCCACUGAUUACCACCUCUUCCAUAAUCUGUAGAAAGGAAAAUUUUUGAGUUGUGAUAAUAGUUCUGAACGAAUCUAGCUUCCUAAUGAAAACAUUAAGAUGCUGGACUCAUUGAAUUAAUUUCAUUGUUUUCAGAGAACCUUGACAACUGCAUAGAUUAUUUUUAAAGACAAUAAGCAUCUUUAAUGAUGCAGAUUUAUUAUUUGUGCAAAUGCAUUAAUAACAAUUCUAUUAAGCUGAUGCUUCAAUUUUGAAGUUAUU